rnacentral:rRNA from 1 species
CCAAAUAGCCAUACCACCCUGAACGCGCCCGAUCUCGUCUGAUCUCGGAAGCUAAGCAGGGUCGGGCCUGGUUAGUACUUGGA